AACGAACGCUGGCGGCAUGCCUAACACAUGCAAGUCGAACGAGAUCUUCGGGUCUAGUGGCGCACGGGUGCGUAACGCGUGGGAAUCUGCCCUUUGGUUCGGAAUAACAGUUGGAAACGACUGCUAAUACCGGAUGAUGACGAAAGUCCAACAAUUUAUCGCCAGAGGAUGAGCCCGCGUAGGAUUAGCUAGUUGGUGUGGUAAAGGCGCGCCAAGGCGACGAUCCUUAGCUGGUCUGAGGGGAUGAUCAGCCACACUGGCACUGAGACACGGACCAAACUCCUACGGGAGGCAGCAGUGGGGAAUAUUUGACAAUGUGCGAAAGCCUGAUCCAGCAAUGCAGCGUGAGUGAUGAAGGCCUUAGGGUUGUAAAGCUCUUUUACCCGGGAUGAUAAUGACAGUACCGGGAGAAUAAGCUCCGGCUAACUCCGUGCCAGCAGCCGCAGUAA
rnacentral:rRNA from 1 species